UCGUACGGUUCACUUUGCUGCUCGUUUAGUUAUCAUUCUCCAGGGCUUGGCGUUGUGUUGUAGUGCGACUGGUCGGGUGCUGCUCCGUGCUCCCCGUGCCCGCUGCUAUAGGCCGGCGGUGGUAAUUGUCAUAUCUCUCUCUGGUCGUUGGUUGGCGCUGCUAGGUGGCUAAUGCUAGUGUGGUCACAGGUAGAUGCUCGCGGCUGCCUGGAGCCCUUGUUCUCUUCCUCCUCUCGUGAGUGUCUGUUGCUGCUCAAAUAAUUUAUUUGCUGUAGGCCAGUGGUCUGGUGGCAUCCUCCCGCCUUGUCUUGCUGUGUCCCUGGGAGCCCGGUGAUUGUGGUGUUUUUUCUGUGGUGGAUCCCUCCCCAGCCUUCCUCCAUUCACUUUAGCCUCAGCCCUGAUUAGGUUUUCCUCCCAUUUUUAUAUGUACAUGUAAUUUUUAUUAAAUAAAAAUUACAUGUUAACUUGGAACCACGUCUCCUGCCCUGUGAGUAACCUGAACCUUGUGCCUUUUUGUGUCCAACAGUAAUUCCCUGGGUGAAAUUCCCAGGGUGUUGUUGUCAAGCUUUUAAUAUUAGUUUCUUACCUUACCUCCUUUGCUCGCCACAGUUGGAAAAGAGAGUUUUACACAGAAAGGUAAUUUCAGAUUCAAAUAAAAACAUGAUAUUUUCUUCCAAAACAUGUUCGUUGCUGAAACCUCUGCUGCAUUAUUGAAUGCAGAGCUUCACUUAUUCAAAAUCUUUGCCAUGGUGCAGUAAGGGAUUACGUUUCCUACAACGCAUAUUUGCUGUUGCAGUUUGUUUAUAUUGAAAUGUAAAUUCCAGGAGUAGAGGCUGGAUGAUUGUUGGUUUUUGUCUUUGGUGGGAUAUGUCAUUGAUAAAACCCAAUUCACACUGGUCAAAUAACCUGUUUAAACCCAUGUUUAAAGAAGGUUUUUUUUACCAGUGGUAAGGAUUGCAAUGCAUGUUUUUAUUGGCUUCAUCUCUGAUCAGCAACAGUGGGAAUUAACACUAAAGACCUGGGUGAACGUGUUCAUUUCUUAAUUUCAGGCAGCACCGCAGAUUCCUCCGUCAUUUCCAGCGCCUUGCCAUGACACACAUUCAUUUUCUGUCUGUCAGUUCAGCCUUGACUGUUUGUGGUGUAUCCUACUUCAUAAGACUUUCAGUUGCGUUCAGUAUUUUUUGUUUUCAAUCAUAUCAUCUGAACAAUGUAUUGACAUAGGGGCCGAAAUAAAAGAUACAAAAUA